UACGUAGGGGGCAAGCGUUGUCCGGAUUUAUUGGGCGUAAAGAGCGUGUAGGCGCCAGGGAGGUCCGUUGUGAAAACUCGAGGCUCAACCUCGAGACGCCGAUGGAAACCCCCUGGCUAGAGUCCGGAAGAGGAGAAUGGAAUUCCUGGUGUAGCGGUGAAAUGCGCAGAUAUCAGGAAGAACACCCGUGGCUAAGGCGGUUCUCUAGUACGGUACUGACGCUGAGACGCGGAAAGCGUGGGGAGCGAACAGG
rnacentral:rRNA from 1 species